UACGGGGGGAGCAAGCGUUGUUCGGAUUUACUGGGCGUAAAGGGCGCGUAGGCGGCGUGUUAAGUCACUUGUGAAAUCUCUAAGCUUAACUUAGAACGGUCAAGUGAUACUGAUGUGCUAGAGUGCAGAAGGGGCAACCGGAAUUCUUGGUGUAGCGGUGAAAUGCGUAGAUAUCAAGAGGAACACCUGAGGUGAAGACGGGUUGCUGGGCUGACACUGACGCUGAGGCGCGAAAGCUAGGGUAGCAAACGGG
rnacentral:rRNA from 1 species